ACACUGAAAGGAGGUGAUCCUGAGUUGAGUUCCAUCAGGAUGUGUGAGGUGGCUGCUCGCUAGAGCCGCCCUUGCCUGUGCAGGGUGGGGCCCAUGGUCCCCGGCAGGCGAAAUUCCCAGCAGUCACCCGGCCCGCGGGCUCACCGGUACAUCCACGGUGCCUCGGCGCCAGGCCCCUCGCGGGUCCGGCACCGAGGAGCAGCCCGCGGGCCGUCUGCG
rnacentral:sRNA from 1 species